ensembl:lncRNA
CGUGAGUGGGAGCCCGUAGCCUUUCCUUUUCCAGACCCGGGCUCCCCCCGCACAGCUGGUUCCCAUUAGAGCAGGGCUCAGCGCCCCUGCUUCCACGAGCUCAUCAGGCAAUGCGGAAACCCAAGCCGUCACUCAUCUCACAUUCCAGCCCUGAGCAGGAGAGCAGCCAGUUCCUGCCUCGUCCGCCCUGACCCUCACUCCGCCAGCUCUUGGGACCUACCUGCGAGAAGGAGAGGCAGCAGCUGCCCAGGACCCCCAGCAGCCCACCUGGGAGCCAGGUAUGAUCUCUUCUGGAGAAAGGAGUUCACAUAUCACGGGCUUCAGAGUCAUCAACCUACAGAUCCAGUUCCCUGGCCUCCCAGGCUUCUGGCCUUGUUGUGGUGUCCAGUAAUUGGUAUUUGUGCCUUGCAGCCCAGGUCCAUUACAUGGGUCAGAGCAGGCCAUGAGGGGAAGGCCAGGAGUGGCAUUGCCCUCCUCCUGCAGCUCAGACCAGGACGUCCCAUGCCAGCUGCUCCACCUGUGGGUCCAGCAAGCACCCUCCAGCAUCUGGGAGCUGGAGUCUGGAUUCUGCCAAGAGGAAAUGGGGUUCACGGGGCCUCCUGGACCCUGAGCCUGGCCUCUCCUGCCACCUCUGCCCCAGGAAGCUCCAGCAUGUUGUCCCAAGCCGAGGCCUUGCCUGCUACCCUCUACCAGACCAUCACGUCCCAGUGGCUCAACAAUGUUCCGUGGAUGUCCAGGCUGCAUGGGCUGCCGCACCUCACCCAGGGCUGGUCCACCCCACCAGGGCUGUUCCACCCUACCAGGGCUGCUCCACCCCAUCAGGGCUGCUCCACCCAGCCACCAGGGCUUCUCCACCCCACCCAGGGCUGCUCCACCUCACUGGGGCUGCUCCAUCAAGCCACCAGGGCUGCUCCACCACACAGGGCUGCUCCAGCCAGCCACCAGGGCUUCUCCACCCCACCCAGGGCUGCUCCACCUCACUGGAGCUGCUCCAUCAAGCCACCAGGGCCACUCCACCACACAGGGCUGCUCCACCCCACCAGGGCUGCUCCACUCCACCCAGGGCUUCUCCACCCAGCCACCAGGGCUGCUCCACCACACAGGGCUGCUCCACCCAGGCGCCAGGGCUUCUCCACCCCACCAGGGCUGCUCCACCACACUGAGGCUGCCAGUGAGGCCCUACGUGCAUCUGAGGUGGAGCCUCCAGCUCAUUCAUCAAAAACUUUUGGGGCCGGGCCAGGAGCCCUCCCCACGACAACAGACAGGUCGGCAGCCACCCCUUCCUGCCCUCCACACACGGUGGGCCAGCUGCUAGGAGAGGCCCCGUGCUCUGCAGCAGCCAGGCACCAGCUCUCCAGCCCAUCCCCUCUGCCUCAACACCCUCCCUCCGCCCAAGUCCAAGGCCCCAGCCAGCCGCCAUGACCUGGCCCAGGAUGCUGGGUCCCUCUGCCCCACCAAGACCACUGGCUCACUGUUGCCCCUUCCAGGGGCCAGGAGGGCAGGGUCCAGGUGUGCAGACUCAGGGGUGAGUGUGCUCAGCAAACAAACAGCAAAGACUUUCUCCUGCGCAGAGCUGAUCCUGCCCUCCCAGUGCCACAUGGAGAGCAGGCUGCGUGAGGACAGGCACAGCCUGGGUCUCACUUUAUCAGAUUUUGAGCAUAAGGAAAGAAUUAAGCUUAGAGGGGGUACCUUUCCAGAUGGAAGCAGAUUUUUGUUUUGGAAGCUUCUCCUGUGGAAAUCACGGACAGCUGAUACAGACAGGCAUGCUUUCUUCUGAAACUGCAGAGUGAUGUACUUCUUUCUUCAGGUGUGUGCUCGCUCGGAUGGCACCUGGAGGUAAACGCCUGCUUUCGUGAGAGUCUGCGAUUUAGUCAUCUAGCACACCAGCCCCAGCCGUAAGCAUGCACAUGGUGCCCGGCGCUCUCUCCAAAAUAAGACACUGGUCAGGGUUGGGAGCCAAGUGCAGAGUCCUCCAUAGGGACAGCUGAUGUUCUUGCGCAGGACUGUGCCUGUCCCAGGCACCAGGGCCUCUUCCUCACAGGAAGGGUCUCCUCUCCCCAGGACCCCGCUCCAGGCUUCUGCUUCCUGCUGCCUCGCCCCCACCACCAUGAGACACUCUGUUCAGAGACAGAUCCAAGGUGGGGGCUUCAAGGUUUAGGGCAAUAAAACACAAUUUCUUCCUGGUACAUGCCUCGGGAGCCCGCCCCAUGCCGUCCAACUGGCCUCAUGCAGCCACAGCCCUAAACGGGUUUUGGGGCCAACCAUGCCCCAGACAUGCUCUUACAGGUGCAAAAGCUGUCCAUUUGACCACUGGUGGGCCCCCUGGAAGAGUGGGUCUCACCGGAGCACCCAGGCCCUAAUUGGCAUUCCAGUGUCCCCUCAGCCUGUUUGGGUCUUGCCCUGGAGCAAACAGCCUGUCCUCCUCUCAGGCCUGCAGGCUUCCAUGAAGAGCCGGUCAGCAGUGGGACUGCAAAACACAGACCACAGCCUUCUCUCUGCUCCCGACAGUGGGUACCCUCUAGCACAUGAUCACUUCCCUCCAGUUCCAGUGGCUCUGUGCAAGGAGAGAGAAGACCCAAGUCUUGGCCAGACACUGUGAGCACCUCUGACUCAGUCUCCCAGAGCCUCCACGGACAUUUCUGGAUAGGAUCCCAGGCACUGGGGAGGUGGGGUUUGCUCCCCACAGUCCGUCAGUCCAUCCUGAGAUCCUGAGGCAGUGGGUUCACUCCCCGCAGUAUGUCAGUUCAUCCUGAGACCCUGGGGAGGUAGGCUUUCCUCCCUGCAGUCUGUCCGUCCAUCCUGAGAUUGUGGGGAGGUGGGCUUUCCUCCCUGCAGUGUCAGUCCCUCCUGAGAUCCUGGGGAAGUGGGCUUCGCUUCCUGCAGUCUGUCAGUCCAUCCUGAGAUCGUGGGGACAUGGGCUUCACUCCCUACAGUCUGUCAGUCCAUCCUGAGAUCGUGGGGACGUGGGCUUCACUCCCUGCAGUCUGUCAGUCUAUUCUGAGAUCGUGAGGAGGUGGGCCUCACUCCCCUCCCUCUGUCAGUCCAUCUUGAUAUCUGUCCACAGCGCUCAGCCCUGGUCACACUGCAGAGUCUCAGAUGCCCCUGG